GCCUAGCCCUAAACCUUGGUAAUAUAUCACAUACCCUACCCGCCUGGGAACUACGAGCACCAGCUUAAAACCCAAAGGACUUGGCGGUGCUUUAGACCCCCCUAGAGGAGCCUGUUCUAGAACCGAUAACCCCCGUUCAACCUCACCCUUCCUUGUUUUUCCCGCCUAUAUACCGCCGUCGUCAGCUUACCCUGUGAAGGCCUAAAAGUAAGCACAACUGGCACAACCCAAAACGUCAGGUCGAGGUGUAGCGCAUGGAGGGGGAAGAAAUGGGCUACAUUCCCUAUAUUAGGGAACACGAACGGCGCACUGAAACACGCGCCUGAAGGAGGAUUUAGUAGUAAGCGGAAAAUAGCGUGUUCCGCUGAAAUCGGCCCUGAAGCGCGC
rnacentral:rRNA from 1 species